GCCUCCGUAGCUCAGGGGAUAGAGCGUUGGUUUCCGGUACCAAAGGCCGCUGGUUCGAUUCCAGUCGGGGGCACCA
rnacentral:tRNA from 3 species